GUCCCUGGAGGACUAGUGGUUAGGCCUGGGUGCUCUCUCCGCCGUGGCCCGGGUUCAAUUCCCGGCCAGACC